CUGAGAAAAUUGAAAGCCUGGCUGGGAAAAAGGACUUCUUAUCUCUUCCCCUUUGCAGGGGAAGCAACCCUGAAGAAGGAUGGAAAAUCAAAUUGGAGCUGCUUAGCCAAGCAUCAGAGCUCAGGAGAGGGAUGGAGAGGCCUGGCAUAGGUGGAAUGGGUAUUUGUCCAACUGCUGUGAUGUUUCCAGGUUAACCUUACUGAGAAAGAAAACUUCUCCUCUUCUUCACCAUCACCAUCACUGCAAGGAUGCAUGGGCCCUUUGGACCUGAGAAUCUGAAGACCUGGUGUCUGGUCCUAGCCUGUCACUGCUGACUGGGGUGAUUAUAUCUUGUGCAAAACACAUGUCAGAGAUUUCUGCCUGCAGUGCUGACCUGUACUGAAUAGAGAAAAUAAAGACGAA